rnacentral:rRNA from 1 species
AGUGAACGCUGGCGGUAGGCCUAACACAUGCAAGUCGAACGGCAGCACAGUAAGAGCUUGCUCUUACGGGUGGCGAGUGGCGGACGGGUGAGGAAUACAUCGGAAUCUACUUUUUCGUGGGGGAUAACGUCGGGAAACUUACGCUAUACCGCAUACGACCUACGGGUGAAAGCAGGGGAUCUUCGGACCUUGCGCGUUUGAAUGAGCCGAUGUCGGAUUAGCUAGUUGGCGGGGUAAAGGCCCACCAAGGCGACGACCCGUAGCUGGUCUGAGAGGAUGAUCAGCCACACUGGAACUGAGAAACGGUCCAGACUCCUACGGGAGGCAGCAGUGGGGAAUAUUGGACAAGGGGCGCAAGCCGGAUCCAGCCAUACCGCGUGGGUGAAGAAGGCCUUCGGGUUGUAAAGCCCUGUUGUUGGGAAAGAAAAGCAGCAGGUUAAUACCCCGCUGUUCUGACGGUACCCAAAGAAUAAGCACCGGCUAACUUCGUG